CCUACGGGGUGCUGCAGUGGGGAAUAUUGGACAAUGGGGGGAACCCUGAUCCAGCCAUGCCGCGUGUGUGAAGAAGGCCCUCGGGUUGUAAAGCACUUUCAGUGAGGAAGAACGCCUGGUGGUUAAUACCCAUCAGGAAAGACAUCACUCACAGAAGAAGCACCGGCUAACUCCGUGCCAGCAGCCGCGGUAAUACGGAGGGUGCGAGCGUUAAUCGGAAUUACUGGGCGUAAAGCGCGCGUAGGUGGCUUGAUAAGCCGGUUGUGAAAGCCCCGGGCUCAACCUGGGAACGGCAUCCGGAACUGUCAAGCUAGAGUGCAGGAGAGGAAGGUAGAAUUCCCGGUGUAGCGGUGAAAUGCGUAGAGAUCGGGAGGAAUACCAGUGGCGAAGGCGGCCUUCUGGACUGACACUGACACUGAGGUGCGAAAGCGUGGGUAGCAAACAGGAUUAGAUACCCUGGUAGUC
rnacentral:rRNA from 1 species